UUGAAGAAUUUGAAGACUUCAACUUGCAUACUCGAAAGAUUUGAAGACUUCAACUUACAUACUUAGAGGAUUUGAAGACUUCAACU
rnacentral:pre_miRNA from 1 species